AACCGAACGCUGGCGGCGUGCCUAAUACAUGCAAGUCGAGCGAGAUUAUUUGAGUGCUUGCACUCAAAUAAUCUAGCGGCGGACGGGUGAGUAACACGUGGGCAACCUGCCCUACAGUUUGGGAUGAACUCCGGGAAACCGGGGCUAAUACCGAAUAAUCCUUCGAAUCACAUGGUUUGAAGUUGAAAGGCGCUUCGGCGUCGCUGUAGGAUGGGCCCGCGGUGCAUUAGCUAGUUGGUGGGGUAAUGGCCUACCAAGGCAACGAUGCAUAGCCGACCUGAGAGGGUGAUCGGCCACAUUGGGACUGAGACACGGCCCAAACUCCUACGGGAGGCAGCAGUAGGGAAUCUUCCACAAUGGACGAAAGUCUGAUGGAGCAACGCCGCGUGAGUGAUGAAGGUUUUCGGAUCGUAAAACUCUGUUGUAAGGGAAGAACAAGUGCGUUAGGUAAUGAACGCACCUUGACGGUACCUUAUUAGAAAGCCACGGCUAACUACGUGCCAGCAGCCGCGGUAAUACGUAGGUGGCAAGCGUUGUCCGGAUUUAUUGGGCGUAAAGCGCGCGCAGGUGGUUUCUUAAGUCUGAUGUGAAAGCCCACGGCUCAACCGUGGAGGGUCAUUGGAAACUGGGGAACUUGAGUGCAGAAGAGGAUAGUGGAAUUCCAAGUGUAGCGGUGAAAUGCGUAGAGAUUUGGAGGAACACCAGUGGCGAAGGCGACUGUCUGGUCUG
rnacentral:rRNA from 1 species